ensembl:lncRNA
GGGAGCGGCCGCCGGGGAACGCCGCGGCGCGGGAUGCGCUGCGGGCGCCGCUUCUUUCUGGGAGGAACCUCACGUGCCCGGGCCGUUUCCUUCCUUUCUGCUCGGCGCACAGAGCAGGUGUCUGUGCUGCAGCCGGGCCGGGAGGAGCCGCCGCUGCGCCUGUGUACGUCGUACGGUCGUUAAGGUCGGAAAAGACCACGAAGAUCAUCUGGUCCAGCCGUCAGCGCACCGCCGUGUCCCUUAGUGCCACAUCUCUGCGGUUCUCGAACACCUUCAGGGACCCCAUUGCCUCCCUGGGCAGCCGUGCCAGCGCCUCACCGCUCUUUGUGAGAAGAAAUUCUUCUGAAUAGCCAGUCUGCACCUCCGGAGCGACAUAAAGCCGUUACCUCUUGUCCCGUGGCUGUUACUUGAGAGCAGAGGCUGCUUUCAGUGUUCUGCUCCCUAUAGGACUCAUGCCCUAGACCCUUCAGCUGAUCUGUUGCCCUUCUCUAGUCAUGCUGCAGGGCCUCAAUGCCUUUCUUGCAGUGAGGGCCCCACGCUGAACACAGCACUCGAGGUGCGGCCUCGCCAGUGCCAGGACAGAGGGACAGUCACCUCCUGCUGGCUGCCCCGUUUCUGAUAUAAGCCAGGGUGCCAUUGGCCUUCUUGGUCACCUGGCACACUGCAGCCUCAUGUUCAGCCACCUGGCGGCUAACACCGCCAGAUCCUUCUUCCAGCAUUGUGUUGUAGCACUGAGAGCCUUUGCUCACUGCAGACCCAACCCAGGCAACAGUGCAUCCAUAGCUUCCAGCCCUGUAAUACUGAGCAGUACAAUGGGUUCACUGAGGUAAAUUCUGCUCCUCUAUGCCAUAUGCAUUUGGAGUAACUCCAUUAUAUUCAAGUUUAGCACAGGCCCUGAAAACAGUGGUUUUUCUCAGCAGAUCUGAAAUGCACAUCUGGGUAGGGGUGGCUGUGGGGCCGUAUUGCAGGCUCUGCCCUGUCUGGGCCCCACAGUGCUCACCAGAUGUGUUGCCCUCCGCUUGUGCUGGACCUUGGCCUUGUCCUGAACCUGAGGGUGCCGAAUGAGGGGGGGAACUGCCUAGGAGCAGCCUGUGAGGGCUGAGCACGUGUGGCUGAUGUGCAGAAGCAGAUCCGAGCGUGGCCCACGAGGCCCUGAGCAGUACAUCUCACAUCUCACAGGGGAGAACUUGCGUGGGGAUUCUCGGCAUAAAGUGAAAUAAUGGGAUAAAGUUGAGGAGCUUCGGUCUGUGAAAAGAAGAAAGAAAACAAGUUCUGUUGUCACUGUGGUGGACAGCCACUAUUGCAUGUGGGAUCAGCAAUCAUCCCUCUGAAGGCCAAUUGGCUCUGCCUGUGGCUGCAGAGCAUCACCCCACCUGGGUUCAGACUCUUUUCAUCCAGCUCUCGUACAUUCAUUUGGUGUGAUACAAAUCAUCUUGUUCACUUGUGAACUCUUAAAUGCUUUCAGAUAUGUGUCUGCGUUUGUUUUUGUUAUGCUUUGCUUGUUUGUUUGUUGUUUGGUACUGUUUCCCAGUUGUUUCGGCCUUCCCUUUUAAUUAGUUUGUUGCUACAUUUCAGGAGAGCUGUGACAGUUGUAUGUCAGAUUAUCCCAGGCUCCAUUCUUCCACUUAAUACUUCUGCCAUGUUCGUAAUCCUCCAACUUUCAGUUAAUGUUCAGAACGCACCAAAGUGCCAAGAAGAUCCAAGCAAAUUCAGAUUCAAGUAAAAUUAUCCAAGGCACUGUAUCAAAUGCUUUAAUAGGGCCCAGAUAUAUCAGCUGCGUUUCUGGUUCAGACCUCUGCUUUUUGUGUCCUGAGUUUUCUUAUCCGAGCUGUGUCUGCCUGGGGGUCAGCUGGAACUGCACCCAGCAUGGGAGGCAGCUCUGGGGGAGCUUCCUGCAGCUCGGGCAGAGACACACAGGGGAAAGGGCAAAGUGGGGCAGAACUGAGAAAUAAAAUAAAGCUGGUAGAGGUGAACGGAGGAUGAAUUUUACAUUUCGUUUUAGAAGAGCAGGUGUUUAGUUGCAGAAAGUUCUUGGGUGGUGGUUACUCCUGUAAACAGAAGGCUGUGGCUGGGAGAGGAAAUGAAGCAGGGACCACAGCAGUGGUGCUUUGUGUACGUACCUCCCCGCAGGGCACAGCCACCCCUGGCCUUACCCUCUGCUCCCAGCCGUGCUGUGUGCAUGGGACCAGCACGGUGUGGGCAGCCCGUGCUCUGCCACGGCCAGCAGCAGGGCAGCGAGGGUGGGAAGAUGUCUCCCUGUAGGGUGUGAACGCCUCAGAAUCUGGAAUGAGGAGAACAGAAAUGUGUCUAAACCUUGAAAGAGUCACUGUAUGCCCCGAGGUCCAGAUGUGUUCUGUCCUUCAGUUGCUUCAGUUACAGUUAGCAUUUGUUUUUGGACAGUUGGCCUGGAGAGCCCUUCUUUAAUGGUAAAAAAAAAAACAACCCUGAAAUGCAGCUGAGGUGAUUGCAAGUGAACCAGUGCCUCAGCCUUUGGAUGCUGUUCAGAAGUUGUGUUGCUGAGCAGAGGUGACAAACAGCCCUUACGAAACACACGUUUUUUCCAUUUAAAAUAACCACCCUGCAGCUGCUAAGGAUUGAUUUUAGCCUGUUAAAUAUUGGGCCGAUGGACCCCGUGCAGCCCUCCAGUCCUGCACGGAUGCUCUACUGGAUGCAGGAGGAGCUGCACAGUGAGACAGGAGCUGGUGGUGAGCCAAGCUCCAGCACUGCACGUUUGUCACAGCGCUGUGCUGGAGCGUCCCUGCAGCACCAAUGUGUUGUGUGCAUAAUGUCUGCUUUGAUGCACAGUCGGUAUAUCCAGUGACACUGAACAUCUCACUUUGUAGGUAGGAAAAACGUUAUUUCUGAUGGACACAUGAGACAGGGAUGGCUGGGCUGCCAGCCUGCUCGUGGUAACAAUGGACAUUCUGGAGUGCACAGAGCCACGAAGCUUGGAGCUCACACCAUAGCUGUUUAGAAGAGAACUCUCUUCCUUUUCAUCGUUCCACUCAAAUUCAUCUACACAAAUUUUCUCCUCCGGUCCCAUUUCCCAUUGCUGUUGCAGGGCGGUGCGUUACCUUUGUGCCCUAUCAUUGGACUGUAGGGUGCUGCAGCAGCAUCCUCUGCUUUCUUCACGCUAACGUUUUAUUUCAUGUAAUGUAUUUGUGAAUAAUUUAUCAUUAAAGUGGUUUCUUUUUUUGUCUUUUCUGCUUUGGAACUUCUGUGAAAGCCAUUGCAUGCAGUACAGAAGGGAAUGUUAAUUUUCAGUGAUAUUUACGUGCUAUUUUAGGGACCUGAAAAAGGAUGGGAAGGAUUACAGUUAUGACCAAUGCCAUGUCUGUUGUAGCCAUGUACAAAACGUGUUGUUCCCUCCCUUAAUGCAUGUGAUACAAACCGUGCAGAGGUAAAUAGAGAUGGUGGUACUAUAUUUGACGUUCUUCUACUCCCCAGAAAGUCUUUGUUGUGUUGUAGCUGCUAAAUACAGCCCUGUGUCAGUUGCCUCAAGCGAGGAGCGAUGUGUGACAGAUCCCAGAUUUUCUUAAAGUGAAGCUGCUUCCCCUGAACGGUGAGAAAGGAGCUGGCAUUGUGUCUCCUCUGCAAGCACUGCAAAGGCACUGGG